rnacentral:rRNA from 1 species
AUGUCGGGCUAUGUUGCUGUCCCUCGCUGCCCGGUGAUUCCUGACGGAGUUUUCAGUGUUUGCUCUACUGACCCCGUCUCGCACAUGUGCGUUUCUUCCGCGCUUGGUGCUCGUUCGUCUGUGCUAUCGUCCCCUGUGGCGACUCUCGCACGUGGUGAUUGUCGCUCUACAUCGACUCUUCCUGCGACUUUCAUCGGUGAUUAUCGUUCUACACCGGCUCCUCUCACGGCCCCCAUCGGAUGUGUUGAUGCAUAUGACUCUAUUGACCCGCGUCUUCCUUUGGCGCUUGGGGCUUGUCUGCAUGUGCCCUCGUCUCCGUCACCGGCCUCUACGGAUGAUGUUGCUUAUGCUAUGUCGCCUCCUCUGGCGGUUUCCACAGGUGGUGGUGGGCCUGGUGGCUGCUCCUCUCCCAGUGCUACUGCGUCAUCUAAUUCAGCUAUGUACUUCACCAAGCAGGAGAUUGUGGGACUUCGUGGUCUGCUCACUGCCUCCGGCUCUUCAUUGCCGGGUGCAUCUCCGUCGACCUCUUCAGUUGAGCUCCUGACUGAGCAGGAGAUUACGCGCCUUCGGUGCUUGCUCGCUGCAUGCUCUGGUUCUUCACCGACGGGUUCUGCUGGUUCUGCUACUGACUCCUCUGGCAUUGUGAGACCACCUUCAUCACAGUCAGGUACAUCUCCAUGGAUUCUGGAUACUGGAGCAUCUUUUCAUAUGACUCAUGAUUCAUCCACCUUGUCUUCUAUUCGUGCUCUUGAUUCUCCUAUUCAUGUUCUUACUGCUGAUGGUACCUCCCUCCCGGUUAAUGGUCGAGGCAUUCUUAGCACCUCAUCUUUUCAUGUUCCUGAUGUUGCUCAUGUUCCUCGACUUACCAUGCAGCUCCUUUCUGGUGGUCAGAUUGUUGACUCCGGUUGUCGGGUGAUUCUAGACUUUGACUCUUGUUCUGUUCUGGACCGUCACACUGGUGCUCUCCUUGGUGCUGGCCCCCGACACCGUGACUCUCAGGGUCUCUGGGAGCUUGACUGGCUUCACCUUCCCUCCGCUGCUUCCGCCGCCAGUCUUUCCCCCUCUGUUGCCUUGUCUACUAGCUCUUUUCAGCAGUGGCAUCAUCGCCUUGGUCACUUGUGUGGCUCUCGUCUCUCAUCCUUAGUUCGACGUGGUCUUCUUGGAUCUGUCUCCGGCGGUUUGUCUUUAGACUGUCAGGGUUGUCGGCUUGGUAAACAGGUCCAGUUACCUUAUCCUCAUAGUGACACUGUGUCUCAGCGUCCUUUUGACCUGGUUCACUCCGAUGUCUGGGGUCCAGCUCCCUUUGCCUCGAAAGGAGGUCAUCGCUACUAUAUUAUUUUUAUAGAUGAUUUCUCUCGAUACACCUGGAUAUAUUUUAUGUCUUCUCGUAGUGAGGUGUUAUCCAUCUAUAAGCGUUUUGCUGCCAUGGUUCACACUCAGUUCUCUACUCCUAUUCGUGUUUUCCGAGCUGACUCUGCUGGAGAGUAUAUCUCCAAGAUGUUGCGUGGAGUCCUUGCUGAGCAGGGUACUCUUGCCCAGUUCUCUUGUCCUGGUGCUCAUGCUCAGAAUGGCGUGUCUGAGCGCAAGCAUCGUCACCUUCUUGAGACGGCUCGUGCGAUGAUGAUUGCCGCCUCUCUUCCGCCUCAUUUUUGGGCCGAGGCUAUCUCCACUUCCGCCUAUCUCAUCAACCUUCAGCCGUCCGCUGCUUUGCAGGGUGGCGUUCCUUUUGAGCGUCUUUUUGAUCGUUCUCCCGAUUAUUCGAUGCUUCGCUUGUUUGGUUGUGUUUGCUAUGUUCUUCUUGCCCCUCGUGAACGCACCAAACUGACCGCUCAGUCUGUUGAGUGUGUCUUCUUAGGCUACAGUGAUGAGCAUAAGGGCUAUCGUUGUUGGGAUCCUAUCGGUCGUCGGAUGCGUAUCUCUCGCGACGUGACUUUUGAUGAGUCUCGUCCUUUCUACCCACGCCCAUCUUCCUCGAUUUUUUCAAUGGAGGAUAUUUCUUUUCUCACUUUUCCUGACUCACCUAUCACCCCCGUUGCGCCUGUGCCUAUUCGUUCCACUCCCUCUGCUUCUCCACCUCUAGUCGAUUUGCAGCAACCAUCUUCUCCGGUUUCCUCGCAAAGCAUGUCACCGGAUUCUACGCCUUCAUCUCCGGUGCCUUCUUCAUCGCCACCCCCCGAUUCUACCUUGGCGAUUCCUCCUUCUAUUGUUCCAUCUUUUCCUCAGCAUUACACUCGUCGUUCACGACCUGUGGAUGCCUCCUUGGAUGAGUCGUCCUCUUCCACUCAGCCUACUUAUGGCUUGCGUUCUCGUCCUCGUCCGCCUGUUGAUCGCUUUGGAUUUCCCACUGCUGGUGCUGCUGUUCUUGAGCCGACUUCUUAUCGUCAGGCUGUUGUUCAUCCUGAAUGGCAGUUUGCGAUGGCAGAGGAGAUUGCUGCUCUUGAACGCACUGGUACCUGGGAUCUUGUUUCUCUUCCUCCCGGAGUCCGUCCCAUCACUUGUAAGUGGAUCUACAAGGUUAAGACUCGCUCCGAUGGUUCUCUUGAGCGUCACAAAGCUCGUCUUGUGGCUCGUGGUUUUCAGCAGGAGCAUGGUCGUGAUUAUGAUGAGACUUUUGCUCCUGUGGCCCAUAUGACCACUGUUCGUACACUUCUUGUUGUUGCCUCUGUACGUCACUGGUCUAUAUCUCAGCUUGAUGUUAAGAAUGCCUUUCUUAAUGGUGAGCUACGUGAGGAGGUGUACAUGCAGCCACCACCUGGGUAUUAUGUUCCUGAUGGCAUGGUAUGUCGUCUUCGUCGCUCUCUCUAUGGCCUUAAGCAAGCCCCUCGCGCCUGGUUUGAGCGUUUUGCCUCUGUGAUCACUACUGCUGGUUUUUCAGCAAGUGCUCAUGAUCCAGCAUUGUUUAUUCACCUUUCUCCUCGUGGUCGGACUCUUCUUCUUCUCUAUGUUGAUGACAUGAUCAUCACUGGGGAUGACCCCGAGUAUAUUGCCUUUGUAAAGGCCCGUCUUAGUGAGCAGUUUCUUAUGUCUGAUCUUGGACCUCUUCGCUACUUUCUUGGGAUUGAAGUCUCUUCUACCUCUGAUGGCUUUUUUAUAUCCCAGGAAAAGUAUAUUCAGGAUCUUCUUGCUCGUGCUGCUCUUACUGACGAACGGAUUGUUGAGACUCCUAUGGAGCUCAAUGUUCACCUCCGUGCUACUGAUGGUGUUCCUCUCCCUGACCCGACGCGUUAUCGUCAUCUUGUUGGCAGUCUUGUUUAUCUUGCUGUCACUCGUCCGGACAUCUCUUAUCCGGUUCAUAUUCUGAGUCAGUUUGUUUCUGCUCCCACAUCGGUUCACUAUGGUCAUCUCCUUCGUGUUCUCCGAUAUCUUCGGGGCACGAUCUCUCACCGUCUAUUCUUUCCUAGCUCCAGUUCUUUACAGCUUCAGGCCUAUUCGGAUGCUACGUGGGCUAGUGAUCCUUCUGAUCGCCGUUCACUUUCUGCUUACUGUGGUUUUCUUGGUGGUUCUCUCAUUGCCUGGAAGACGAAGAAACAUAUUGCAGUUUCCCGUUCGAGUGCUGAGGCUGAGUUGCGAGCCAUGGCUCUUUUGACGGCGGAGGUGACUUGGUUACGGUGGUUACUUCAGGAUUUUGGUGUUUCUGUCACUACACCGACUCUGCUCUUAUCUGACAGUACAGGUGCUAUGAGCAUUGCGCGCGAUCCUGUGAAGCAUGAGCUCACCAAGCAUAUUGGUGUUGAUGCUUUCUAUGUGCGCGCUGCUGUGCAGGAUCAGGUUAUUGCUCUUCAGUAUGUGCCUUCCGAGUUACAAUUGGCAGAUUUCCUGACGAAGGCCCAGACUAGAGCACAACAUGGCUUUUAUCUCUCCAAACUCAGUGUUGUUCAUCCACCAUGA